rnacentral:lncRNA from 1 species
UCUCUCUCUCUCUCUCUCUCACGCACACACACACACACACUCUUUCUCUCUCUCAAGAAAUUUAUAGGAAUGGAGAAAACAAGAAUGGCCUCAAUCUCUCUCUCAGCUCUUCCUAUAUGCCAACAGAGAAUGUCACAUAUUGCAUGUUGCUUGUCAUCCCAAAGAGGUUUUCAAACUGCCUCUCUCUCUCUCUUUCUNNNAAAAUGUCACAUAUUGCAUGUUGCUUGUCAUCCCAAAGAGGUUUUCAAACUGCCUCUCUCUCACACACACACACACACACGCGCACAGACACAUGGAAGCAGCUUAAGGAAAAGAGCAGCGGAAAUAACAAAGCUUUGAAGGAUAAAUGUGCAUGGCAUGGGGACUGUACAAAAUGCCACUAAUUCUGGCGCACUUUUACCAUUUCUUUUUAAUUAAU